UACGGAGGGUGCAAGCGUUAUCCGGAUUCACUGGGUUUAAAGGGUGCGUAGGUGGGCAGGUAAGUCAGUGGUGAAAUCUCCGGGCUUAACCCGGAAACCGCCAUUGAUACUAUCAGUCUUGAAUACCGUGGAGGUAAGCGGAAUAUGUCAUGUAGCGGUGAAAUGCUUAGAUAUGACAUAGAACACCAAUUGCGAAGGCAGCUUACUACCCGAAUAUUGACACUGAGGCACGAAAGCGUGGGGAUCAAACAGG
rnacentral:rRNA from 1 species